UCCCGAAUACCACUGCUUCCAUUAUCCCGUUGAAUUUUGGAUACCAGUUUCAAAAUGCAUUUCAUUAGACAUGGUCAUACAAACAUGUUGGUUCUGUGUCUUUGUCUGUUUUGUUUGUCUUCUGCUUAUCAAAUUAUAGUCUCAGGUAAAGAUGGCGAAACCGAUCUUUGUAAGAGCGUUACAAAUGAUAUUAAAAAUUUGGAAAGAAAGAUGAAUAAAAAACUUGAGCAAAUGGUGACGACACUUCAACAGAGUAUAGAAAAUAAAUGUAGUAAUGAAAUAUUAGAACCCUUAUAUGAAGUAGCAAAAGGAAAAGCAGCAAAGCAAAGUUCAUUAUAUCAGGGGAAAUAUUAUCCUGCUGGUUGGGCCGUUGAUGGUAAUACUGGUACUUUUUCUCACACUAAUGGCGAAAAAAAAUCCGUAUUGGUGGGUAGAUCUAGGAAGACUGUACAGAGUAACACGGAUUGAAGUGCAUAGCCGAAAAGGCUGUUGUGGUUCCUAUCUGCAUGACAUGGACGUUACUGUGGGACCUUCUCUUAACGAGAUGUCUUUAUGCACCCACUAUAAAGGUCCUGCAAGAACAGGAGAACAUUUCGUCUUGGACUGUAAAGCAACGUUGGUUGGGCGGUUUGUCAAACUGUCUAUUACCAGUGAUAAAAAAGAAAUUGUGCAGAUGGCAGAAUUGAAAGUGUUUGCGUAUCGAAACAAACAAUAAAAUGUUAAAUAGGAA